rnacentral:rRNA from 1 species
AAUCGCAGAUCAGCAUGCUGUGGUGAGUACGUUCCCGGGCCUUGUACACACCGCCCGUCACACCAUGGGAGUCGGUAACACCCAAAGUUGGUAGUCUAACCGCAAGGAGGACGCCGCCUAAGGUGGGAUUGAUGACUGGGGUGAAGUCGUAACAAGGUAAC